GAUGAACGCUGGCGGCGUGCCUAAUACAUGCAAGUCGAGCGAACAGACGAGGAGCUUGCUCCUCUGACGUUAGCGGCGGACGGGUGAGUAACACGUGGAUAACCUACCUAUAAGACUGGGAUAACUUCGGGAAACCGGAGCUAAUACCGGAUAAUAUAUUGAACCGCAUGGUUCAAUAGUGAAAGACGGUUUUGCUGUCACUUAUAGAUGGAUCCGCGCCGCAUUAGCUAGUUGGUAAGGUAACGGCUUACCAAGGCAACGAUGCGUAGCCGACCUGAGAGGGUGAUCAGCCACACUGGAACUGAGACACGGUCCAGACUCCUACGGGAGGCAGCAGGAGGGAAUCUUCCGCAAUUGGCGAAAGCCUGACGGAGCAACGCCGCGUGAGUGAUGAAGGUCUUCGGAUCGUAAAACUCUGUUAUUAGGGAAGAACAAAUGUGUAAGUAACUAUGCACGUCUUGACGGUACCUAAUCAGAAAGCCACGGCUAACUACGUG
rnacentral:rRNA from 1 species